ACGGGUGCGUACCGCGUGGGAAUCUGCCCUUGGGUUCGGAAUAACGUCGGGAAACUGACGCUAAUACCGGAUGAUGACGAAAGUCCAAAGAUUUAUCGCCCAGGGAUGAGCCCGCGUAGGAUUAGCUAGUUGGUGAGGUAAAGGCUCACCAAGGCUACGAUCCUUAGCUGGUCUGAGAGGAUGAUCAGCCACACUGGGACUGAGACACGGCCCAGACUCCUACGGGAGGCAGCAGUAGGGAAUAUUGGACAAUGGGGGCAACCCUGAUCCAGCAAUGCCGCGUGAGUGAUGAAGGCCUUAGGGUUGUAAAGCUCUUUUACCCGAGAUGAUAAUGACAGUAUCGGGAGAAUAAGCUCCGGCUAACUCCGUGCCAGCAGCCGCGGUAAUACGGAGGGAGCUAGCGUUGUUCGGAAUUACUGGGCGUAAAGCGCACGUAGGCGGCGAUUUAAGUCAGAGGUGAAAGCCCGGGGCUCAACCCCGGAACUGCCUUUGAGACUGGAUUGCUUGAAUCCUGGAGAGGUGAGUGGAAUUCCGAGU
rnacentral:rRNA from 1 species